GUAGGUGGCAAGCGUUGUCCGGAAUUAUUGGGCGUAAAGCGCGCGCAGGUGGUUCUUUAAGUCUGAUGUGAAAGCCCCCGGCUCAACCGGGGAGGGUCAUUGGAAACUGGGGAACUUGAGUGCAGGAGAGGAAAGUGGAAUUCCACGUGUAGCGGUGAAAUGCGUAGAUAUGUGGAGGAACACCAGUGGCGAAGGCGACUUUCUGGCCUGUAACUGACACUGAGGCGCGAAAGCGUGGGGAGCAAACAGGGAUUAGAUACCCUGGUAGUCCACGCCGUAAACGAUGAGUGCUAAGUGUUGGGGGGGUUUCCCGCCCCUCAGUGCUGCAGCUAACGCAUUAAGCACUCCGCCUGGGGAUACGGUCGCAAGACUGA
rnacentral:rRNA from 1 species